rnacentral:rRNA from 1 species
AGUGAACGCUGGCGGUAGGCCUAACACAUGCAAGUCGAACGGCAGCACAGGAGAGCUUGCUCUCUGGGUGGCGAGUGGCGGACGGGUGAGGAAUACAUCGGAAUCUACUUUUUCGUGGGGGAUAACGUAGGGAAACUUACGCUAAUACCGCAUACGACCUACGGGUGAAAGCAGGGGACCUUCGGGCCUUGCGCGAUUGAAUGAGCCGAUGUAAGAUUAGCUAGUUGGCGGGGUAAAGGCCCACCAAGGUGACGAUCCGUAGGUGGUCUGAGAGGAUGAUCAGCCACACUGGAACUGAGACACGGUCCAGACUCCUACGGGAGACAGCAGUGGGGAAUAUUGGACAAUGGGCGCAAGCCUGAUCCAGCCAUACCGCGUGGGUGAAGAAGGCCUUCGGGUUGUAAAGCCCUUUUGUUGGGAAAGAAAUCCAGCCGGUUAAUACCUGGUUGGGAUGACGGUACCCAAAGAAUAAGCACCGGCUAACUUCGUGCCAGCCGCCGCAGUAACAC